GAUGAGCGCUGGCGGCGUGCCUAAUACAUGCAAGUCGAGCGAACGGACGAGAAGCUUGCUUCUCUGAUGUUAGCGGCGGACGGGUGAGUAACACGUGGAUAACCUACCUAUAAGACUGGGAUAACUUCGGGAAACCGUAGCUAAUACCGGAUAAUAUUUUGAACCGCAUGGUUCAAAAGUGAAAGACGGUCUUGCUGCCACUUAUAGAUGGAUCCGCGCUGCAUUAGCUAGUUGGUAAGGUAACGGCUUACCAAGGCAACGAUGCAUAGCCGACCUGAGAGGGUGAUCGGCCACACUGGAACUGAGACACGGUCCAGACUCCUACGGGAGGCAGCAGUAGGGAAUCUUCCGCAAUGGGCGAAAGCCUGACGGAGCAACGCCGCGUGAGUGAUGAAGGUCUUCGGAUCGUAAAACUCUGUUAUUAGGGAAGAACAUAUGUGUAAGUAACUGUGCACAUCUUGACGGUACCUAAUCAGAAAGCCACGGCUAACUACGUG
rnacentral:rRNA from 1 species